rnacentral:rRNA from 1 species
AGUCACUGACAUUAGAUACCCCCGUAGUCCAGGGUGUAAACGCUGCAGACUUGGUGUUGGGGGCCCUUUGGGGGCAUUCAGUGCCGGAGAGAAGUUGUUAAGUCUGCUACUUGGGGAGUACGUCCGCAAGGAUGAAACUUAAAGGAAUUGGCGGGGGAGCACCGCAACGGGAGGAGCGUGCGGUUUAAUUGGAUUCAGCACCGUAAAACUCACCAGGGAAGACUGUUACAUGAAGGCCGAGAUGAAGACUCUGCUAGAUUUUCAG